UGGAAUCAACAGAUGAAGAUGAUAUGCUUAGUUUCGUGUAGAAGUGGCGAGUGGGGCUAGUGCUAUAUUUGGAAGGAAGCUGGCGGUAGUUUGUCAAACUCUCAUUUUGGUGGAAGUCUGGAGAAGUUUGGGUUUAUUGUAGUGUGUUGAUGAAUACUUUCUCGUUUAGAAGGAGAUUAAAUUAAAUCACAUGUAAUGGCAACCAGAGGACAGGUUGCAUGCUGUGCUUAGUUGCAAGACAAUAUCCUUUUCUUCUUGAAGUUCGAGAAAAAUGUGCUCAUCUUUUCUCGGGAAAACAUGGAUGCAUCCAUGAUUUAAUUUCCGUAAGCUUGGGUAUCUUUGAUUGUGACAUCUAUGAUAGAUUGAUGACUCUGUCAAUGCAUCAGUAUAUUUUUCUUUUUGAAA